rnacentral:rRNA from 1 species
AGGAUGAACGCUGGCGGCGUGCCUAAUACAUGCAAGUCGAACGAGGUAGCAAUACCGAGUGGCGAACGGGUGAGUAACACGUAGGUAACCUGCCCUUAAGCUUGGGAUACCCAGAGGAAACUUGGCUAAUACCGGAUAACAACAGAGAAGGCAUCUUCUUUGCUUGAAAGGCCCCUUCAAGGGUCACUUAAGGAUGGACCUGCGGCGCAUUAGCUAGUUGGUGAGAUAACAGCCCACCAAGGCGAGGAUGCGUAGCCGAACUGAGAGGUUGAUCGGCCACAUUGGAACUGAGACACGGUCCAAACUCCUACGGGAGGCAGCAGUAAGGAGUUUUCGGCAAUGGGGGAAACCCUGACCGAGCAACGCCGCGUGAGCGAUGACGGCCCUAUGGGUUGUAAAGCUCUGUUGUAAGCCAUGAAUGACAGCUUGAGGAAAUGCAAGUUGUUUGACGACAGCUUACCAGAAAGCCACGGCUAACUACGUGCCAGCCGCGGC